GAGAAGGUGGCUCAGUGGUAGAGUGUUUGCCUUGCAUGCAUGAGGUCCUGGGUUCGAUUCCUCACUACCACA
rfam:Dipodomys ordii contig_17046, whole genome shotgun sequence.